rnacentral:lncRNA from 1 species
UCGCAUUGUUUUAACUUGUCCCUUUGGCUUUUUUGAAUCCACCCAAAUGCGGAGAUCAGACUGGGUUGUGUGCCACCUUCUUUGCAUGGAAUUACGAUGGCGACAAGCUACAGAUACCACUAAACGAAGUAUGUUGGUCUAGCAUCAUACUCCCAUGGAAAAUGCGUUUUUUGCUAAUCCACACCAUCUUUUGCUGCAGGACACACUUGCAUCACACAACAGCCUAAUGAUCUACGAACUAAUGAGGAUGCAAGGCAACCAAACUCCAGUAGCAAACGACGCCCUUGAAGCGGUCAAAGUAUCAUUCACUGCUCUUUAGAAUACCGUUCUAACUACCGGAAAUUUCUUUCCAACUGGAUUGUAUUAUAACUAGAGAUUACAACCAUUUCACGGGCCACCUGGCACAAAACUAUGUCUGACGAUCGGUUACUACUUAUGUGUGUCGAGUGCAAAUUUCUAGCACAUCUGAUAGAAACCAAAUUUCAUAUGCAACUAGUUCACACUAGUUUACCACAUACAUUCGGAGGUACAAGUUCAACUGCUAGGACACAAACAAAGGCAAGUACUCAACAACAGCUGAUGGACUGCUAGGGUUACAACUAUCACAUCUAGAACACAAGCUUUUUUUGUGGAUGCAGUUAAAAGUUCACUGCUCCUAACCGAAGAAGCACUUGCAACAGAAUGCUGCCAGCAGCAUGAACAGUGCAAACCCCUUGACAUAGCCAGGUCCUUGAUUCAUAGCUAAAUUGUCUAUAGGAGCAGGAGGUAGUUCUAGCUGGGUAGAGCGGUGUUGUGCCACCACACUUGCCGCAUCUCGUAACUCUGAGUUGAUCCUCUCUAAGUGACGCACCCUGUCGCGGAGAUCAAUGAGGAGUUGUUUGAGGAACGGAUCCUCAAUACGAUCGUCAUGCCACACGUACAUUUCACAGCCUCCAGUCUGACGGGAUUUGACCACAAAAUAACGUCAGAAUGUAGGAAUCAUAGAUCAGCCAACUAGUUUUAGUAGAACACAUACCCGCGACUUGGCGCAUGUCUUGUAUCUUCUUCCAGGGUUAUCAUCGCUCCAGGAGAUCCACAUGGCGGCCUUGGGUCUCUCCUUGCACCAGCAUGGCGUCGCUGGUUCGUAGUC